UAGUCUCGCACAGAUGCAUAUCAAUAAGCGGAGGAAAAGAAACUAACAAGGAUUCCCCUAGUAACGGCGAGUGAAGCGGGAAGAGCUCAAAUUUGAAAUCUUAAAGGGUUUCCCUUUACGAAUUGUAGUUUAAAGAAGUGUUUUCUGUUGAGGUUUUGGUAAAAGUUCUUUGGAAUAGGACAUCAUAGAGGGUGAGAAUCCCGUAUUUGACCUUUACUUUCAACUUUGUGAUACACUUUCAAAGAGUCGGAUUGUUUGGGAAUGCAGUCCAAAAUGGGUGGUAAAUUUCAUCUAAAGCUAAAUAUUGGCGAGAGACCGAUAGCGAACAAGUACCGUGAGGGAAAGAUGAAAAGAACUUUGAAAAGAGAGUUAAACAGUACGUGAAAUUGUCAAAAGGGAAGCGUUUGACACCAGUGUUGUUUUUCUGAAAAUCAAUUAAAGAACUGUUUAUGCUAAGCUGUUUAGACUUUAUCAGCUAACUGUUUAGUUUUGAGCUUUUCUUUAAUGCACUUUUCAGUUAACAAGUCAACAUCAAUUUCUUUUGCUGUAAAAAAGCUUGAGGAAGGUGGCUUGAGAUUCGUCUUAAGUGUUUAUAGCCUCUUGCCUAUGCAGUCGGAGAGAUUGAGGUCUGCAGCGUAGAUCCUUCGGGGCUAAAUGCAUUUGUGCUAAGUUAUAGCAUUUUAUAGACAACUUGUUGACUAUGAUUUGUCUUGUAGCUUACUCGCUUAUGUUAUUUUACCUACGCUUAGGAUGUUGAAGACUCUACAGAGAUA
rnacentral:rRNA from 1 species